UACGUAGGGGGCAAGCGUUGUCCGGAUUUAUUGGGCGUAAAGAGCUCGUAGGCGGUUCGACAAGUCGGAUGUGAAAUCUCCACGCUCAACGUGGAGGGGCCAUUCGAAACUGUCGUGACUUGAGUCCGGUAGGGGAGUGUGGAAUUCCCGGUGUAGCGGUGAAAUGCGCAGAUAUCAGGAGGAACACCGAUGGCGAAGGCAGGACUCUGGGCCGAUACUGACGCUGAGGAGCGAAAGCGUGGGGAGCAAACAGG
rnacentral:rRNA from 1 species